GACGAACUGCCCAAACGUUGUUCGGAAUCACUGGGCUUAAAGGGCGCGUAGGCGGCAGAUCAAGUCAGGGGUGAAAUCCGGCAGCUCAACUGUCGAAGUGCCUUUGAUACUGAUUUGCUCGAGGGAGAUAGGGGUCUGUGGAACUUCUGGUGGAGCGGUGAAAUGCGUUGAUAUCAGGAGGAACACCGGUGGCGAAGGCGGCAUCCUGGACCGAGAUUGACGCUGAGGCGCGAAAGCGUGGGGAGCAAACAGG
rnacentral:rRNA from 1 species